UACGUAGGUGGCAAGCGUUGUCCGGAAUGACUGGGCGUAAAGGGCGCGUAGGCGGUUUGUACAGUCAGGUGUGAAAUUCCCGGGCUCAACCUGGGGGCUGCACUUGAUACGUAUGGACUGGAGUGGGGAAGAGGGUCGUGGAAUUCCCAGUGUAGAGGUGAAAUUCGUAGAUAUUGGGAAGAACACCGGUGGCGAAGGCGGCGACCUGGUCCUUGACUGACGCUGAGGCGCGAAAGCGUGGGGAGCAAACAGG
rnacentral:rRNA from 1 species